GCAUAUCAAUAAGCGGAGGAAAAGAAACCAACCGGGAUUGCCUCAGUAACGGCGAGUGAAGCGGCAAGAGCUCAAAUUUGAAAGCUGGCUCCUUCGGAGUCCGCAUUGUAAUUUGCAGAGGAUGCUUUGGGUGCGGCCCCCGUCUAAGUGCCCUGGAACGGGCCGUCAGAGAGGGUGAGAAUCCCGUCUUGGGCGGGGUGUCCGUGCCCGUGUAAAGCUCCUUCGACGAGUCGAGUUGUUUGGGAAUGCAGCUCUAAAUGGGUGGUAAAUUUCAUCUAAAGCUAAAUACUGGCCGGAGACCGAUAGCGCACAAGUAGAGUGAUCGAAAGAUGAAAAGCACUUUGAAAAGAGAGUUAAACAGCACGUGAAAUUGUUGAAAGGGAAGCGCUUGCGACCAGACUCGCCCGCGGGGUUCAGCCGGCAUUCGUGCCGGUGUACUUCCCCGUGGGCGGGCCAGCGUCGGUUUGGGCGGCCGGUCAAAGGUCCCUGGAAUGUAGUGCCCUCCGGGGCACCUUAUAGCCAGGGGUGCACUGCGGCCAGCCUGGACCGAGGAACGCGCUUCGGCACGGACGCUGGCAUAAUGGUCGUAAACGACCCGUCUUGAAACACGGACC
rnacentral:rRNA from 1 species